CCCAAGAGAUUGGGCGUCCCCUUCGGGGGACAGGGUGACAGGUGCUGCAUGGCUGUCGUCAGCUCGUGUUGUGAAAUGUUGGGUUAAGUCCCGCAACGAGCGCAACCCUUAUCCUUGUUGCCAGCGAGUAAUGUCGGGAACUCAAAGGAGACUGCCGGUGAUAAACCGGAGGAAGGUGGGAUGACGUCAAGUCAUCAUGGCCCUUACGAGUAGGGCUACACACGUGCUACAAUGGCAUAUACAAAGAGAAGCGAACUCGCGAGAGCAAGCGGACCUCAUAAAGUAUGUCGUAGUCCGGAUUGGAGUCUGCAACUCGACUCCAUGAAGUCGGAAUCGCUAGUAAUCGUAGAUCAGAAUGCUACGGUGAAUACGUUCCCGGGCCUU
rnacentral:rRNA from 1 species